rnacentral:lncRNA from 1 species
GCAUAUAUUGAGCAUUGAUCAUCUCUAUUCUUCUAUUUGCCUUCUCUUCCCUUCCCUUUCUCUCCCUCCCCAGCUCCCCUCUCAGUCCCCAAUAGUCCCUCUUCUACUUUCAGAUUUUUUUUUGGGGGGGGGGAUUUGUUUUGUUUCUUCAUAUGAGAGAAAAUACACUAUGCUUGUCUUUCUAUUUUUGAUGUAUUUUGUUUAACAUAAUGAUUUCCAAUUUUCCUGCAAAGGACAUGAUUUCAUUCUUCUUUAUGGCUGAAUAAUACUCCAUUGUGUAUAUGUGCCACGGUUUCUUUAUCCAUUCAUCUGUUGAUAGGCAAACACUGAUUCCAUAUCUUGGUUAUUGUGAAUAGUGCCAUAAUAAACAUGGGCAUACAGGUGUCUCUUUAGUAUACCAACUCCAGGAAUGUUAUAACUGGAUUAUAAGGUUGUUCAAUUUUAUUAUUUUGAGGCAUCUCUAUUAUGUUUUCCAUAGUGGCUUUCUUUUUUUUUAAAUUUCUUAUGUUUUAUUUUUUUAAACAAUGUUUUUUUAUUUUUAUAUGGUGCUGAGGAUCAAACCCGGGUCCUUCCCAUGCUAGGCGAGCACUCUACAGCUGAGCCACAAUCCCAGCCCCUCCAUAGUGGCUUUCUUAAUUAAUGAUCCUACCAACAUCAGGAGCAGAGUUCCUUUUUCUCCACAUACUCACCAGCACUAAUUUUUUGUUUUUCAGAUAUAAGCCACUCUGAUUGGGGUGAGAUGGAAUCACAAUGUAGUUUUGAUUUGCAUUUUCCUGAUGUGUAAAUGUAUGAAGCAUUUUUCAUAUAUUUGUCUGUCAUUUGUACGUCUUUUAUGAAGUGUCUGUUCAGAUCAUUUGCCCAUUUUUGAUUGGAUAACUUGGUCUUUUGUUGUUAAGUUUUUUGAGUUCUUUAUAUAUAUUGGACAUUAAUCCUCUUAUGGAUGAAAAACAGGCAGAUAUUUCCUCAUAUUCUAAAGGUUGUUGUUUUUCUUUUUCACUCUGUUAAUUACUUCCUUUGCUGUGCAGAAGCUUUUUAAGUCGAUACAAUCGAUCCCAUUUGUCCCUUCUUUCUCCUGUUUCCUGAGUAAUGGGAAUCCUGUCUAGGAGAUCCUUGUCUAUGCCAACAUCUUGAAGUCUUCCCCUGUUUUUCUCUAGUGGCUUCAAAUCUUCGGGUCUUAUAUUAGGUCUUUGAUCCAUUUUGAGUUGACUUUUGUGCAGGGUGAGAGAUGGGGGUCUGGUUUCAAUCUUCAGCAUGUAGACAUUCAGUUUUCCCACCAUCAUUUAUUGAAGAAGCUGUCCUUUCUCUAAUGUAUGUUUUGGGCACCUUAGACAAGAAUCAGUUGGUUGAAGAUGUGUGGGUUGUUUCUGGGUCCUCUAUUCUGUUUCCUUGGUCUCUGUAUUUACCUUUAUGCCACUGCCAUGCUGUUUUUAUUAUCAUGGCUCAGGUAUUGUAAUGCCUCCAGCGUUGUUCUUUUUGCUCAUUAUUUAUUAUUAUUUGCCGCAGUCCGGCUGGCUGCAGCAAAAUAACCGGGGAGGGGGGGGGUGACGAAGAACUUGUGUACGUUGAUACAGCAGGAGUAGGAGCCGUUUAUUGCAGGACAGGAGCAGUAUUUAUACAUUCCACACAGCUUAUCUAAUUAGCAUAAACUAGAUACAUCAGUCAACCAAUAAGGAAUCUCCACACUUAAUGGCUCGCUGGUGUUACUUCACAAACCACUCCCUCUGGCAUUUUGCCAGGCACCAUUCAGAUUUGUUUACAGACUCUAACAUUUCUCUGGCAAAAUGCCAGGUGUCAUCCUGACUUGUUUACAGACUCUAACAAUUAUUAUUAUUAUUAGCCUAUUCAGGGUCUUUUGUGCUUUCAUCUGAAUUGUAGGACUUUUUUUUCUAGCCCUCUGGAGAACGUCAUUGGUAUUUUGAUGAGGAU